rnacentral:tRNA from 1 species
AGGGAUGUAGCUCAAUCGGCAGAGCGGUGGUCUCCAAAACCACAGGCUACAGGUUCGAGUCCUGUCGUCCUUG